GGUUGAUGAAUAGCGUGAUGUAAUAAUAACUUUGGAAUUUCUCAGAGGUCUUCUUACCAUCACUGUGAAUUACAGCAUGCCUCUUCCUUUGACAUGGCUUGGGGUGGACUGCCCUCUGGUGGUCAUGUUUUAUAUGUGAUUUUUUAUUUCCACAAUUGAGGGGAUUGGGUGCAGGGGUGAAUAUUUUUGCUCUACUUAUUUCAGGCCAGGUGAUGGCAAUGUUGCCCUGCCAGAAGAAAUGAGAGUAGGCCGCACGCGUUACCGAGUGCUGUGGAUGAACCCGCCAGUGUAAUCUGAAAUAAUUACAAGCAGAGGAGGAGACACACGUCGUGAUCCUCAAAGACCUUACCCAGAAAAUGGAAAAAAAACAAAAUAAUAAUAAAAAUAAUAAUAAAAUAAAUAAAUGAAUUAGGGAGCUUAUGAAUAUGCUAUACCCUAAAGAAUCCACAUCUGGCCAGACGACGACGACGACGACUCUUCCAGAACAUUCCCAUUGAUUAAUCCCCACCACUCUCCUCUGUCUAUUCGGGGUCGAACAGCAAACAGACAAAGAACAUCUGACGGCACAAACACUAGAGGCCACUUCACUCUGAAGAGGGUGAGCUCAUCGUUUAUGCGGCCUUCAUGAGAGCUUUUAUCAACAUGAGGCAAAAUGCCAUGCCAUUAUUUUGAUAAUUUCCCGUGCAUGCUUAAAAGAGGAGCAUUAAAAACCAAACCUGGCAGCAACCUCCCCUCAGGAUCAGCAGGGUCACGAUGGUGAUCUGAACUCACGUGUGAGGUUGUUGGAUGGCAGUUGCAUCACGCAUGACCCCAGAGGCUUCCUCUGAUGUGCUGAGUCUACGUUCACAUCACACGGAGACGCCGCAGGUGUGUCUCGGGAACAAAAGGCGCUCUCGUCUCGUCUCGAUUCGGAGCAGAGGGGCCACCGAUAGUAAAGCUUUGAUUAAAGCAAGACGCUCGCGCGAGGUUUAAAGUAUUUCUUUGAUUAAUGCAAGACGCUCACGCGAGGUUAAAAGUAUUUCUUUGAUUAAUGCAAGACGCUCACGC
ensembl:lncRNA